rnacentral:lncRNA from 1 species
AAAAUAACCUCUCAAACAAGCACACCCCAAGAUCCCUGCCCCCACCCUUUUUGCUUCAGUUCAACCACCAGAAUCACCCACAUCUCCAUCAUCGGCGACCACCGUAGGCGGCGGUGGCGUGGUGGAGUUUGUCGGCGAAAGAGAGAGGGAGAGAGAAGUGAUGUCAGGUCUGAUGGCCGGAAGAAAACGACGGUGGUUGGGGGAUUUGUCGAACGAUAACGCUGCAAUGGCCGUUGCAAUCUGAAUCGGUUGAAUGACACCAUUUCAGUCUGAAUCUUCAAGAGGAAGUGAAGAGAAGUUCUUGGAUGAAUCGGUCGAACGACACCGUUUGAAGAUUCUUAAAGUUUAAUAAAGUGAGUACAUCUUAAGUAGGAGUGGGUCUUCCGAGUUUGUUAUUGUUUGUAUUUCUGCUGCAAAUAACCUUGUUAUUUGUGUUUUUUUAGUAUAGUGGGCUACUAAAUUACAAUUAACAAAAAAUUAUCUUUGUAACUUAUUUGAGUAUUAAAUCACUUUCUACU